rnacentral:sRNA from 12 species
UUGCGCCUGCGGCGGACCCGGCGCGGACUUUUCCAUGGCUUCGCAGGCAGCCUGUUCGCGUACGGCCCUGUACGUCCAGGAAUUAUCCUGGCUUUAAUGAUUUCU